AGAAGUGGCGCUUGAUUUCAACACUGUUAGAAGCAACAGUGUUGAUACCAGGCAUUCACCUCUGU
rnacentral:pre_miRNA from 1 species